UCGGGAAUUUUGGGCAAUGGGGGAAACCCUGACCCAGCAACGCCGCGUGAAGGAUGAAGUAUUUCGGUAUGUAAACUUCGAAAGAAUAGGAAGAAUAAAUGACGGUACUAUUUUAUAAGGUCCGGCUAACUACGUGCCAGCAGCCGCGGUAAUACGUAGGGACCAAGCGUUGUUCGGAUUUACUGGGCGUAAAGGGCGCGUAGGCGGCAUGACAAGUCACUUGUGAAAUCUCUGGGCUUAACCCAGAACGGCCAAGUGAUACUGUCGCGCUAGAGUGCAGAAGGGGCAAUCGGAAUUCUUGGUGUAGCGGUGAAAUGCGUAGAUAUCAAGAGGAACACCUGAGGUGAAGACGGGUUGCUGGGCUGACACUGACGCUGAGGCGCGAAAGCCAGGGGAGCAAACGGGAUUAGAUACCCCCGUAGUCCCUGAGCGGGCUGGCAAGGCGCAU
rnacentral:rRNA from 1 species